rnacentral:rRNA from 1 species
AUUGAACGCUGGCGGCAUGCCUUACACAUGCAAGUCGAACGGCAGCACGGGAGCAAUCCUGGUGGCGAGUGGCGAACGGGUGAGUAAUAUAUCGGAACGUGCCCAGUCGUGGGGAUAACGUAGCGAAAGCUACGCUAAUACCGCAUACGAUCUAUGGAUGAAAGCGGGGGAUCGCAAGACCUCGCGCGAUUGGAGCGGCCGAUAUCAGAUUAGGUAGUUGGUGAGGUAAAGGCUCACCAAGCCGACGAUCUGUAGCUGGUCUGAGAGGACGACCAGCCACACUGGGACUGAGACACGGCCCAGACUCCUACGGGAGGCAGCAGUGGGGAAUUUUGGACAAUGGACGCAAGUCUGAUCCAGCCAUUCGCCGUGCAGGAUGAAGGCCCUCGGG